rnacentral:rRNA from 1 species
UAGGGAAUCUUCCGCAAUGGGCGAAAGCCUGACGGAGCAACGCCGCGUGAGUGAUGAAGGUCUUCGGAUCGUAAAACUCUGUUAUUAGGGAAGAACAAAUGUGUAAGUAACUAUGCACGUCUUGACGGUACCUAAUCAGAAAGCCACGGCUAACUACGUGCCAGCAGCCGCGGUAAUACGUAGGUGGCAAGCGUUAUCCGGAAUUAUUGGGCGUAAAGCGCGCGUAGGCGGUUUUUUAAGUCUGAUGUGAAAGCCCACGGCUCAACCGUGGAGGGUCAUUGGAAACUGGAAAACUUGAGUGCAGAAGAGGAAAGUGGAAUUCCAUGUGUAGCGGUGAAAUGCGAAGAGAUAUGGAGGAAAACCAGUGGCGAAGGCGACUUUCUGGUCUGUAACUGACGCUGAUGUGCGAAAGCGUGGGGAUCAAAUAGG